UGGGGAAUAUUGCACAAUGGGCGCAAGCCUGAUGCAGCCAUGCCGCGUGUAUGAAGAAGGCCUUCGGGUUGUAAAGUACUUUCAGCGGGGAGGAAGGUGUUGCGGUUAAUAACCGCAGCAAUUGACGUUACCCGCAGAAGAAGCACCGGCUAACUCCGUGCCAGCAGCCGCGGUAAUACGGAGGGUGCAAGCGUUAAUCGGAAUUACUGGGCGUAAAGCGCACGCAGGCGGUCUGUCAAGUCGGAUGUGAAAUCCCCGGGCUCAACCUGGGAACUGCAUUCGA
rnacentral:rRNA from 1 species